rnacentral:tRNA from 4 species
GAUUCUAUUUUAUAUAGUUUAAAUAAAACUUUACAUUUUCACUGUAAAAUUAAAUAUCUAUUAUUUUAUAA